rnacentral:rRNA from 1 species
UACGUAGGUGACAAGCGUUGUCCGGAUUUACUGGGCGUAAAGAGCGCGCAGGCGGUCGUUCAAGUCGAGUGUGAAAGCCCCCGGCUCAACUGGGGAGGGUCAUUCGAUACUGAUCGACUCGAAGGCAGGAGAGGGAAGUGGAAUUCCCGGUGUAGUGGUGAAAUGCGUAGAUAUCGGGAGGAACACCAGUGGCGAAGGCGACUUCCUGGCCUGUUCUUGACGCUGAGGCGCGAAAGCUAGGGUAGCAAACGGG